AACAAACGCUGGCGGCGUGCCUAAUACAUGCAAGUCGAACGGGGAAAGCUUUCGGGUGAGUACUAGUGGCGCACGGGUGAGUAACGCGUGGAUAAUCUGCCUUAGAGUGGGGGAUAACUAGUCGAAAGAUUAGCUAAUACCGCAUAAGACCACAAGAACUGCGGUUCAAGGGGUCAAAGGUUUUUCGCUCUAAGAUGAGUCCGCGUAAGAUUAGCUAGUUGGUAGGGUAACGGCCUACCAAGGCGACGAUCUUUAACUGGUCUGAGAGGAUGAUCAGUCACCCUGGAACGGAGACACGGUCCAGACUCCUACGGGAGGCAGCAGUAGGGAAUAUUGCACAAUGGAGGAAACUCUGAUGCAGCGACGCCGCGGGAGUGAUGAAGGCCUUCGGGUCGUAAAGCUCUGUCGCAGGGGAAUAACACAAUGAAGGUACCCUGUAAGAAAGGAUCGGCUAACUUCGUGCCAGCCGCCGCCGUAACAC
rnacentral:rRNA from 1 species